AGAAAGGCAGAAAGGAGUAGGAGUAACCGAGACAUCUGCAUCCGAGGGUGCAGAAACCUGGGUUCUGAGUCUUUUGUUCUCUAGGCACAGCCCAAAUAGCUCCUGUCAUCCACAGCUAGAGGUUAACGAGGAUCAGUCACACCGAAACCGCUCUGGGGGCUAAGGGCAAGGCGCCAAGCAGGCCGGGGGGGAUCAGAAAGUGAGUUUUGGCGAAGACUGGGCGCACCUCCGCUCUCCCUAGCACGCCAGGCAAGACUGCUUACUGAGCUUUUUUCCGACACGGGGGUGUCCAUUCAGAACAAAAGAGGUCACUGAAUGUAGCUGACAAGGAUCUUUUUCCCCGUCCAGCCUCCUGCGCCACUUUUACCCACAUUCUUGGAACUCGAGGUCAGCAAAAAUAGGACCACUGGGCUCGUCCGGGAUUUGAACCCGGGACCUCUCGCACCCGAAGCGAGAAUCAUACCCCUAGACCAACGAGCCGGCACAUGAUAAUGGCCGCGGAUGCUCUUAGAGGUCGUACGGCAUUUGCUGUGGUCCUAGGGACACCACGAUUGGCGGGAGCGUCCAGGAGAACUUCAGGGUCCACCCUCCCCACGGCUGAAUACUGCAUUCUGGAGCAUGUGUCUAGGAAUCUCUGGGCUGCUAGCCCUAGAGCUCCGACUCCUUGCGGGAAGUAGCGUGGAGGAAGUGGGAGGGGGUGCUCUGGGUCUGUCCCCACUCCACCUUUCUCAACUGCCCUGAGUUGCCAGGUUCCUGCUCUUUUCGGUCACCGACUCCGGCCCGUCCCUUAAUUUGGGAUCUCCACCCUUCCCGCUCUCAGCCUUCUGACCCAGCCCCGCGGUGGAGAGCUUUGAAACAAGCCCCGAACAUGCCUGAUCUCAGGAAGGUCUGGAGACAGAGUCCUGAAAUCCCUAGGUGAACACCACCCCUCUAACCGUCCCUGUACCUAUUUCACUGGGGUGACAGGCAGGGGCUUCAAUAGCCUAUGGUCUCCCCAUACUGCUUGACAGCGCCCAGCUAAAAAGACAAACGUGAUGAUUCCUCUGGCAAAAAACAAAAAACCCAAGGAAGAAACGUUACUGAGACGCCCGGCUAGAGCGAGGGACCCUGCUUCCUCUGCAGAAUAGAGUGGGGCACCAGGCCAGGCCAGUCAAGAUGGUCCCUGAUGCCCGACACCUCUGUGGACACUGGCUAGGGCUCAGUCUAGCCUCAGCUCCCCAGUUUCCUCUAGGAAGGCCCAGGAGACUCUUCUACAUGCUGCCGCAGAACAUCAGAAGGAAAAUACAAUGGAUACCAAGCCUGGUGAAGAAAGAGAUCUCAAUACAGACAGGCCCAGCCUCUUUAGGAGACCUGGAGGUACCAGCACUGGGAUGCUUCUCCAGAUUCCAAUCCAACACAGCUUUCUGGGGAAGGGGAGGAGGAGCUGGGGCACUCACAGAGUGAGGGGUGACAAGUCGGUACACUUGCCCUGGGUGCAAGAAUGCAAACCAGCGGACUGAAGAGCCAAGGAAGAGGAGAAGAACCUGUAAGGAAGGAUAGAAGGGUGCUGUGUCCCAGCCUAGAGCUUGGGCAUGGGGAUCCAGGCCCUAGGAGUCCCACUUUACCUUCUGAUCCUUGUUCUCAUCUUUCAGGGGCUCAGGUGGGCCCCAUCCAGUUCCCUCCUUCCUCUGGG